UACGAAGGGGGCUAGCGUUGCUCGGAAUCACUGGGCGUAAAGGGUGCGUAGGCGGGUUUUUAAGUCAGAGGUGAAAUCCUGGAGCUCAACUCCAGAACUGCCUUUGAUACUGAGAAGCUUGAGUCCGGGAGAGGUGAGUGGAAUUCCGAGUGUAGAGGUGAAAUUCGUAGAUAUUCGGAGGAACACCAGUGGCGAAGGCGGCUCACUGGCUCGGUACUGACGCUGAGGUGCGAAAGCGUGGGGAGCAAACAGG
rnacentral:rRNA from 1 species